AAUGAACGUUGGCGGCAUGGAUUAGGCAUGCAAGUCGAGCGUGAUAGGAAUAAUGCUUGCAUUAAACCUUGAAAGCGGCGAAAGGGAGAGUAACGCGUAGGGUAUCUGCCUAUUAGUGGGGGAUAACGAAUCGAAAGGUUCGCUAAUACCGCAUACGUCCUACGGGAGAAAGGGGGGGGAUCUUCGGACCUCUCGCUAAUAGAUGAGCCUAGGCCGGAUUAGCUAGUUGGUAGGGUAAAGGCCUACCAAGGCGACGAUCUGUAGCUGGUCUGAGAGGAUGGCCAGCCACACUGGAACUGAGACACGGUCCAGACUCCUACGGGAGGCAGCAGUGGGGAAUAUUGGACAAUGGGGGCAACCCUGAUCCAGCCAUGCCGCGUGUGUGAAGAAGGCCUUGGUUGUAAGCACUUUGUUGGGUAGGAA
rnacentral:rRNA from 1 species